AAUCACUCUCCAUUUGUCACCAUUUCCGGAGUGAAUUCAGACUAUAAAAGAACGACCAUCAGCUCACAGACACCAUCAUCUACUGAUGAACAUCUUCAAGACACAGUCUGAUUCAGCGUAUGUUACAACUGUUGCUCAAUAAACAGCAUUCACUGCAGCUUCCCCAGUCGUCCUGAUCCUCACAUCACAAUCAACAGUGUUUGGAUGUGUUUUUACGGUGUGGAGUUGAUGGAAAAUAUGACGCUGAACGUUCUCCUUUGACUUCUCUGAGGAACAAGAAACACAAACCAACUGGACAAGUUCUGUCAUAAAUUGCUUCCUCUCAGGAAUUUGUGAAACAAUGGCACAACAUAACAUCAGCAUCAAUGACUCAACUGGAUCAGAUGAUCAUU